CCCCUGCGUCUUCUCGCCGUAAAGCUGGGAGCCCGGCUGCUGAGCACGAGACGGAUCUGCGUGUGAUUAAGAGGAUGAGGAUCUGCUGACAUAGUGAGGAGACAAUGAAGUUUGGGCCUCAGACUCUGCAGAGAAGAUUGAGCUGGAAGAAGACCUGGCGUCUGGACCAGAGGAAAAGGAACGACAACAGAGAAGACGUCACUCAGAACAUUAAAUCUGAAUUAGAGGAAAGAAACGUCUGUUGUGUCCGUCGUGAGAUGAUCAGGGGCUCUUCAAAGUUAAUCACAUAGAAAAUGAAAAUACGAGGGAUCAGUGCAUGUCACCAGUAGGAGGUUAAGACACUGCUCAUCUAGCGGAUGAUGAGAGCUCAGUGCUGGACCUCACAGCUCAGCCAAUCACUUGUCAAGAUGGGACAUUGCUGCUGAAGAGAAGUAGUAUUACUAGGCAGAUGCUGCACUAGCCCUGUAUGGGGUUACCCUGUCCAAAGCAAAAUUGCUUGUAGACAUCACCACCACAUCCCCGGAUAACCCCCCUGGCUCAGGUUCUGCUCUUUAUUUUUUACCUCAAUAUAAGUUAAAAAGAAAAUCAAGACAAAUAUGUUGCCCACAUUCCUUACAGUGAUACUGCUGCUAAUAGUGACAAUAAUAAAAAAAAUAUAUAAGUAUUACAAUAGUGAUAAAAACAACAAAUAUAAUAAUAAAAUUUUGGUUCCGGUUCCGGCGCGGGGAUGUGAGGACGCACAGGCAGAGACUCCCGACCGCGCGCUCAUCAAACCCGUUAUCACAGCAGCAUACCCGCAACCAAACCACCGCCAGGGAUAGCUCGUAUCCCAGAGAACAAGCUGGCACUCUUUUAAGGACCAUUACCUCACGCGGCUCCCGGGACGCUCAAAAUCACCGGCACUCUCAUUACCCGCCUCAGCAGCCACAAGCUCCAAGAUGGCGAUGGCGCCUCAGGAACAGAGGAAGGAGGUGGCGGCUUCCUCCCCUGAACGGAAGCUGCUGCAGCUUUUUAUUCUUCUGGAGCCACGUCUGCCCCUCCUGGAAAUGACUCUAUUCAAAUGGACCCCAUCGCUGCUGCGGCUUUCAUCAGUCCAGAGAAGUGGAAACGUAGAAGUUCUAAAGUUAACUUUCCAUCCAAAUUCCCUGGUUUUCAAUGGCCCUUAGAGGGAUCACCACACCUGAGGAUGCCUUCAUCUCCACCAUCUUCUAAAGAACAGCCUGCUGCUAAUUCUUCAACAUGACUGAGCGUAAACAUUUAAUUGUUUUUCCUUGUUCUCUAAUUUUUCCUCCCACACAUCUUUUUAUUGUGGUAGGAUGAGGAGAAGUGCUUCAAUAGCACUACAGCUGAAUACAUUGACCCCCCCCCCUUUUUUUUCCCUCUUUUCUCCUUUCCCCUCCGUCCCCUCCUUCUCUCUCUUUCUUUCCUUCCCCCCCUCUCUUCUUUCUUCCCUCUAUCUCUCUCCUCCCCAACUCUUUCUAUGCCUAAUUCUCUCUUCCUUUGCUCCCUUUCUAUCUCCGCUUUCUCUGUGGUAAUUCCUACAUAUCUGAUAUGUCUCCCGACAUAGACACGGUCGGGGGUUGGUACUCUCCCCGAAAAAAGAGAAGUCCAUUACUAUACUAUGCCUUACUAUUUGGCAUUGGACAUGUUGUUUUUGCAUUUACUUACUGAUGCUGACAACUGUAUGUCGCAUUUUCUUAGUUUAUUAUGUUCGUUACUGGGCAUCGCACGGGUCACCUUGGUCUUUUAUCAUUUACAAUUCAUAUACCUUGAGAAGUUACAUAUCCUUACAGGUAAUCGUUUAUGAAAAUUGUUUCUUGGAACAUAAAGGGGUUGCGUUCCCCUCAAAAACACAUGAUGGUAUUGAGGCAUGUAUGUAAACUUAAAGUGGAUAUAGCCUUACUGCAGGAGUCUC